rnacentral:misc_RNA from 1 species
GCAUAUUCAACAGAUUCAAUGUGGGGCCCACUUUGAAAUGAAUUUUUAUGGCAAUUUGCAAUGUGUUUAUUCAAGACAAAGAGAAUGGUUGUGCCUACUGCUGAAAAUUUAACAUGUCCCUUACUAACAAUAUUGGACUGGAUUAACUAUUUAUUCAUUUUCUCAACAAACGAUGUGACUUCUGGCAGUUGUUUUCCCCCUAAAAAUGCACUAAAUAGCACAAGAGAUCUUUCUGGCUGUGAAAAUGGAGCUUCAUGAGAUGCACCUCUAAUGGUGGCAAAAGAUAAGAUAUCUCCAUAUACUUGUGUCCAACCAGCAACCUGUUUUCCUUCAAACCAGGCUCUAUAUGGAACGGUUGUGUUGAGACCCAAAUACUUUGCCAAUCCAUUCACUAGUGUUCUUGUUCCAGUCAGUGGAAUGACUGAAUCUUGGUCUCCGCUGUAAACGAAAACCCGGAUGCCGGACCUGAUAAGCUUGCCUAGAACAGGGAUGGUGGGUAUCUCCAGAUUUUCCAUAUUGUACUUGAUCACUUCGCUGCACACAGUCCAUCUGUCGACUCUAACAAGCCGUGCAUGGAGAGCUUCCUGUACAUCUUCUCUGUUCAAGUACUUCAUAGUUUCAUCUUCUAUACAGACAUCAAUUUCCCCGACAUUUUCCAUUUUAUUCAAUACAUGGGAUUGUGAUUGGAUUGUUGAUAAGCAAACAUCUAGAGUAAUGUCAUAGGUAUCUACAAAUUUGCUAACUUCUCUUGAGUAUUGGCUAUUUACUCUAGAGCAAUCUGGGGACAGAGAGCCAAUAAUUUGGUAUUGUCUCCUGAUUUGAGAAUAGUUACAAACAGUAGUAAAAAUCUCAUAAGUUGCAUCUGAUAUUAACCCAUGAGACCAAAAGUACUCGGCUCGAGAGUUGAAAUCAGUGUCAAAUUCUAGAAGAGGAUUUCCUAUUGCAAUCCCUUUCAGGUUGAUUUUUGCAUUGGACAGGACAAUAAGCUGUGCAAGCUGUGGGACAUAGUGACCUCCGUAGCUCUCCCCUGUGAUGAAGAAAUCUCUGUCUUUAUAUUCUGGGAAUUCGGAAAACCAGCGUUCAAGAAAUGCAAGAUUGUCUCGAGCUGUCAGCUCAUCAUUCACAGAGGUGUAGAAGGAUUCAUCAGCAGAGUAGGAAAAGCCAACUCCAGCUGGUGAUUCCAAGUAUAGCACAUUUGCUUCUUUAUUCCAGCUAUAAUCAUUUUUGUGCAAUAUGUCUCCACUUGGCUUAAAGGGUCCAUGCUCACAGAAAGCUCCUGCUCCAAUGGAAGAACAACCAGGCCCUCCAUUUAACCAGAGAACAAGAGGCUUUGAAGCUGGGUCUGUCUCUGCUUCAACAAAGUAGUAGAAAAGAGCUUUCUCCUGCUUUUCAUCAAUGGUUAUGAACCCUGAAUAUUGCUUGAAACUGACCACUGGUUGGCCAGGCAAAGUGACAAUUUUAUCAGGUUCUGAGACUGAUUCUGCUGCUAAAAAUACAAUAGUUGCAGAAAUGGUCGCAAUGGUAGUCCAUUGCAGUGGCUGCAUUGAGAGAGAGAGAGAGAGAGA